UACGUAGGGUGCGAGCGUUGUCCGGAAUUACUGGGCGUAAAGAGCUCGUAGGUGGUUUGUCGCGUUGUUCGUGAAAUCUCACGGCUUAACUGUGAGCGUGCGGGCGAUACGGGCAGACUAGAGUGACGGUCAGGGGAGACUGGAAUUCCUGGUGUAGCGGUGAAUGCGCAGAUAUCAGGAGGAACACCGGUGGCGAAGGCGGGUCUCUGG
rnacentral:rRNA from 1 species